rnacentral:rRNA from 1 species
UACGUAGGGUGCGAGCGUUAAUCGGAAUUACUGGGCGUAAAGCGUGCGCAGGCGGUUCGUUAAGUCAGAUGUGAAAGCCCCGGGCUCAACCUGGGAACGGCAUUUGAAACUGGCGGGCUGGAGUGUGGCAGAGGGGGGUGGAAUUCCGCGUGUAGCAGUGAAAUGCGUAGAUAUCGAGAGGAACACCAGUGGCGAAGGCGAGUCCCUGGACAACUCCUGACGCUGAGGCACGAAAGCUAGGGGAGCAAACAGG